GACGAACGCUGGCGGCGUGCUUAACACAUGCAAGUCGAGCGGAGCGGCGAACGGGUGAGUAACGCGUGAGUAACUGCCCCCCUCUCUGGGACUACAGUAGGAAACGGCUGCUAAUACCGGUUAGUGGGGGAUGAAUUGCGGCCUAUCAGCCUGUUGGUUGGGUAGUGGCCAACAAAGGGGACGACGGGUAGCCGGCCUGAGAGGGCGACCGGCCACAUUGGGCUGAGAUACGGACCAAACUCGUACGGGAGGCAGCAGUGGGGAAUAUUGCACAAUGGGGGAAACCAUGAUGCAGCAACGCCGCGUGCGGGAUGACGGCCUUCGGGUUGUAAACCGCUUGCAGCCAUGACGCGGUAGUGGCAGAAGAAGCACCGGCUAACUACGUGCCAGCAGCCCGGUAAUAC
rnacentral:rRNA from 1 species